rnacentral:rRNA from 1 species
GGGCAGUUUGACUGGGGCGGUCGCCUCCUAAAAGGUAACGGAGGCGCCCAAAGGUUCCCUCAGAAUGGUUGGAAAUCAUUCGCAGAGUGUAAAGGCACAAGGGAGCUUGACUGCGAGACCUACAAGGCGAGCAGGGACGAAAGUCGGGCUUAGUGAUCCGGUGGUUCCGCAUGGAAGGGCCAUCGCUCAACGGAUAAAAGCUACCCCGGGGAUAACAGGCUUAUCUCCCCCAAGAGUCCACAUCGACGGGGAGGUUUGGCACCUCGAUGUCGGCUCAUCGCAUCCUGGGGCUGUAGUCGGUCCCAAGGGUUGGGCUGUUC